AUAGCGACGUUGUCGUAAUCAAAAUGGUGGAUCUGUUCUUCUUUUAACAAUUUCUUGUGUUUUAAAGUUUUUCUGCGUUUCUGAAGCAAAUUUUCAAUUCGAAAUGACAAGUGAAGGACCCGUGGGUACUGUGGCUCCCCCAAUUGUUGACCAAAAUGCGAAUCCUGCGUCUGAUCCUAGGCAGAUGAGGAGAAUUAUCGCAGAAGAUCCAGACUGGAGUUUAGCCACAGUUCCACUGCUUACUGACUUAUGUAUUCAGAAUAUCAUAAACUGUUUUGAUGAGAAACCCACCCUAAAUGAACUCCUGCCAAAACAUAAAGCAAAAGUUUUAGAACUUCUGUCGACUUCCAUCCCACUGAAGGUCACCGCUUCACUUGUUGAGGAUGAUGGUUACUGGCAAAAAUGCUGCAAAUCAAAAUGGGAUAUUUGUGAUAUAUCAAAACAUGGGAAUAACUGGAAAAGAAUGUUUUUUGAGAAGACUGUUGAAGGGAUUAUAGAAAGUUUUAUACCAGAAUCUACAGAAAUCACUGAGUUGGAUCACACAUUGGCCCUGGGUGAAACAUUCAUCUGUUCACUGAAUAUUAAACAACUUCUUCCGCCUGUAAAGGAGAUUAUCUUGAAAGAAGAUGACUCCUCAGAUACUGGGAGCGAAGUGGGACAAGAGGGGCCUCUCAUGGAUCAUUUUGAUUUUGGGGAAUUAGUUUCUAGAACAAGUUGCCUUCAAGAGCUUCAUAUUACGUAUGGAGUCCGUACAUGCGGGAUGAACUUCGAAUGGAACAUGUUUCAGUUUACAUCGAGAGAUUGCCAACUUCUUUCCAGGGCAAUCAAGGCGUGCACUACGUUAAGAGUAUUUCAUCUGCAUCGUAGUCAAGUCGAAGACGAGAAAGCAAGAAUUUUAAUUAGUCAUCUCCUGGAUCAUCCAUCAUUGACCACCCUAGAUUUUUCUCACAACAAGAUUGGCGACAGUGGAGCUCGAGCUAUUGGUAAAUUGCUCAAUGGACGAAGCAAACUUGAGCAUAUCAACCUUCAGGACAAUAAGAUCAAGUCUUAUGGCGGCAAGGCAAUUGCUCACGCGCUUGGGAAGAAUACGACGUUACGCACAAUGAAUAUGCGUUUGAACAGACUGGGUGAUGAUGGGGGUCAGGCCACGUGCAAGGCAUUGAUUAAGAACACAACACUCCAGGAGUUGAAUGUGGGAAGUAAUGAUUUGGGUGAGCCAACAGCUGCUGCGUUAGCACAGGUUUUAGUUUCAAAUAAAACUCUCCGUUCAUUAAAUCUUUCUUGCAACAAAAUGGGAGAGGAUGGUGGUAAAUCCUUGCAGGAAGGAAUGGAGGAAAACGAGACGAUAAAAACUAUUGAUUUACGACUCACGGAAAUUGGGCAGGAGAACGAGUAUUGCAUCAAUCAACUCUUGAAACGAAACAACGAACAAGAUAAGACAUCAGUUUAAUAUUUCUUUCAUAUGAUAAUUGUAAAUAAUAUGUUUGUAUAUAAGUGGACGAAUGAGGUCAUACGCAGUCCACGGUGAAAAUAAGCUUUUCAACCUCAGGAACUUCGCGUGAGAUCGCUCACACCUUAAUUGUCAUCAGGGGUUUUGACAAUGUUCCGUCGACAAGAAUCCUUAUCCUUGUCAUCACAUUUUUUGAUGCGUUGGCAAAUUCAGCUUUGAGGUGUCUCUCGCCUUCUCUAUAAGAGCAGCUUCAUUACAUUAUUUACAUAGUAACAUUGUGCAGCAGCUUCCUAUCCUCUCUUUUACCGCCGGAUUCUGGUAAGUUCAUCAUCCGCAAACAGCGACGCUUUUAUUAUUGGCACCCAAUACCCUAGAAUUGCCAAUUACUGGGCGGAGGAGCGGCCUCACGUGGCCUCACCAUUGCCAUAGUUUUAGCACAAUGCCAUGACGAAUGCCAUGUUUAUACGUGGUCUUAGACGUCAGACACGUCUUUGCUAAAUCAUGGUGUUAAUUUUUACGGAAGGAAGUGCGGCUUUGUGCGUCGUUCAUGACUGGGCUUUGCUGGUCCGGAAGACGGAAGGUUGAAACAAGCUGAAACGCUGAUGCAUGUAUGUUCGAAGAACUGCUUUGAAUCCUUUCAAUCCAUCUAAUUGCGCCAAUUUGGGAAAGAAAUGUUCGCCUAUAGAAACCUCGAUGCCUAUAAGAACAAGACAAAAUAGUUAUCUGUCUAGAAAGGAGGAUUUCAUUCUCCCCUCUCAAAUACAAGAUUUCUAUGUACAGUAAAAGAAAUGUACAUUGUUUUCGCUCUUGUGGAGACUGCACAAGAUUUCUGCAUGAUAAGUACUGCUUAUUACUGUACCACCUAUAUGAUAGAUCAAUAUUAUUCUCGGUUUAAACUAAGCAAUGUAGCAGCUACAGUGUUUCAGGGUAUCAUUUCGACAGGUUUGAAGGUAUCCAAGUAACUGUGUACACUUGUUCAGCUUGAGCCUGAGAGGUUUCUUUGAAGAACUUGUAAGAACAUUUCCACGACAAAGGAUAUACAGAGAUGACAUAAAGUAAAGCUUCAUUUUUAAUGCUUUCCGUUUUGGCAAAAAGAACAAUCUGAUGACGCAAGGUGCGUUGUGCAAAGAUAUCUUCCGCAAGACAUUGUGCACGGUUUUUGCAACAAAAAUGCAUUCUGAGAAAACUGUGACGUCUUUGAAGACAUAACACUUUCUACGGAUAAUAUGAUUUCGUGUCUGUCCCGUACGGAAAACGUCUGGCCUAUUUUCUUUUUUAAAGUUCAAUUAUAAAGAAUGUCCAUAGUUCAAGUAUCCAUUGAAAACGCUUGUGUAAAACGACCAUUUUCCCGCGGUAACUCUGAAUGAUAUUUAUUAUUCGCACUUAAUCUACUUAUAGAACUAUUUAUCUAGCCAAUCCGAAGUUAUUUUUUGAGGACUGGUAAUCAACGAGGUUGACAAUGCUUCAUGGGAUUGUUUUAGAGACUUAAACAAGAAGCUCGUUCUCUAAACAGUCGCAUUAUGCACGGACAUCUCGCCAUUGCUGGUGCUCUACUGCAACUUGUAUUUAAGCCAAUCAAACUGUUGUGUCGUGAGUCACGAGUGAUAAUCGACGACGUUGAUUGGACGAGGCGUCUCAUAGAGGUGUGAGAAUUCUUCUGUUAGGCUGCGCCAUCAAAAACCCCCCGAAACUCUGACGAGCCUGGAACGAGGUAUGUUUUAGCACAAAUUUGGCGUUCAUUAUAGAUACAAGGAAAAUAGAGUCCCUGUAUGCGUGGUACGCCCCCUUUAAUUAGCCAAGUUUCCGGAUUGUCGAAUGAAGCCCACAGAUGGCCGAAAGCAUUUGCGAUAAAGAAUAGGGUAAAGAGAACGGAUUGAGAGAAUCCAGGAUCUUGAAUCUGUUCUUGCUUACUCUAAAAAGCACGAGAUCUCUCGUGGGAUCUCGUUAUUGAUGGAGAAUUCCUUUUUGUUUCAGGAGUUGCGUCAUGUGUAAUGUGUAUGCCACUCACUCAUGAGAAUCCCUGAGUAGGAAAUACCGCAUUCCGUAUUCCACACUCCGUUCUUGUUUUCCCCGCGUAAUAUUGUUCUGUGGUUUUAAGUCUUCCGGUGCCCUAAUUACCGAAAACAUCGGUGCAUUUCAGGCAGUAGCCGCAUUCUGUUCACGAGACUUCGGAAUGCUCUAUAACUAUAUUUAUCCAGUCACGUGGUAGUAUGUAUAUAGUCAAUAACAUCCUUGUUUUGAAGCAAAAAGUCGGCGUGGGUUAUCAUAACAGUCGUCGUGUUGUAAGUCGCGCUGUCCUUUUUACACCUACACUGCCUAAAUAUAUCCGUAUUAUUGCAAAUAAGGUUAAAACUGCUAGUUUCGAAUGUGUCAUGGUCAGCAAUUGAGUAUGCGCUCAACAAUAAUACAUUGUUUUGUAGUGUUGCACAAUAUUUCAUUAGGUUUCAAACAUUGACAAAUCCGAUCCAACUGGGCGCUGAUAAGAAUAAACUUAGAAAGCGGGAAAAUGAUGUUGAGCCAGGAUAAUCUGUGUCAGCGUUAAACCAAGGUCAAGAAUGCUUAACAAUUUUGGAGCAACGAAAUGGAUUUCGUUUUGUUGGAUUUUAGGGUUGAUGAUGAACUAGGGCGGGGUUCGAGUAUUGCUGAUGUGCGUGCUCAAAUUCUAAUUCGUUACCCUAAAAGUGCAGGAUUUCAGUGCUUUAAAAAUGUUUCGUUGCAAAAUAAACAGGAUUUCAGUGAAGCUUAAAUCUUCUACCUACGAGCGCUAUAUUAUCUUACAACAAACGUUUUCUUAAUGAGAUCACAGUUAAGACCCGCUUGACGGAGCUUGAAUAUUCUUGUUUCGUGAAGGGGAGCACGUAUAUUUCUUCAUAUCUCCUUCAAUUGUUGAACAUGCUACAUACCUUCGUAUCGAGGAACCGACAAAAAAGAGAAAAAAAAAGAAAUUCCUCAAAAUCUCCACUCUCGCCUUUAAAACUAAGUUGGAAUUGACACAUGCAGGAUCUCCUGCUGAGCUAAAAUGAAAGGCAUGAUAAUUGCGGUAUCAAUUCGUUGGUUGCACGUCACCAACAGUACCUAACCUGCCUGGUCAGUGUUGCAAUUGUGCAAUUAGAAACUUAACGAACUCCGAGAUAAUAUUCAAUUCACAUAUUUGCAGGGCCAUUCACUUGGCUCUCACGAGAUGAACAAAGCACAGAAAAUAGUUAAACAUUGAUAACAACAAAAUACUUAUCCUUUUGUGCGAUUUGCGUCAAUACUUUACCACGGUCUCGCCAUGACGUUAGCUACCUACGUCAAAGGUGGAGCGAAGCAAGAUCCUAAGAUUGUACGAAUAUCUUUAUUGAAAAACGCGAGUCAAAAAAUCUUUGUUUAGGCUGCGUUGCCAAUAUCUCUGUGUUGCUUCAUUCGGCAAAAACAGGUAUUUUUACGCGUUAUCAUGUUUUUCAAAACUUGUUGACGUUACCAUUUUUGUUUCGAACUCUGGUCUUUUAGAGCAAAUUGUUCCUGCGCUGCUGUUUUUCCAUCAAAAAGAUAUUUGGCAAAUAGUUUUAGCAGUGAGUUGCCUACAGGCCAGAAGUUCCCCCCUUA
rnacentral:misc_RNA from 1 species